UGCCAGCAGCCGCGGUAAUACGGAGGGUGCAAGCGUUAAUCGGAAUUACUGGGCGUAAAGCGCGCGUAGGUGGUUUAUUAAGUCAGAUGUGAAAGCCCAGGGCUCAACCCUGGAACAGCAUUUGAAACUGGUAGGCUAGAGUUUUGUAGAGGGUGGUAGAAUUUCAGGUGUAGCGGUGAAAUGCGUAGAGAUCUGAAGGAAUACCAGUGGCGAAGGCGGCCACCUGGACAAAGACUGACACUGAGGCGCGAAGGCGUGGGGAGCAAACGGGAUUAGAUA
rnacentral:rRNA from 1 species